rnacentral:lncRNA from 1 species
GCUCUUUUAAUUCAUCAUGCUUCUAUCUCUCCUCUCCCCACUAGGUUAAGAGAUCAGAGUAACUUUUGAGCUAAUGAGGACACUAGGUGACAUCAAGCCCAAACACUUUCUGAACAAGUGGCUGGUCCUGAGAGGUGAUCGAGGUCACACAACUAUAAGAUAUAAGCAGGAACUGAAAAAUCACAUCUCCAGACUCAUCACUUGGGCUUGGCCAUGGACUUGCAUAUCAUUGCUGAGAGAAGUCUCAACAGCAGCUUAAGUACUAUUGAAGACCUCAAGAUGACAAAUUUUCUCCAUCACUUCUAAGGCUGAAUUGUCAUAUCCAAUGUGCUUUAUGACUAUGCUUUGAUUUGUGCUGAUGGAUCUAAGGUGUGCACCUCUGGAGGCUUUGAGGUGGCUAUACUUCAGUUGUGGAUAAAGAGGUGAAGAAGGACAUCUAUGGUGAUGCUCAGUAAUAUCUGCGAAGAACUGUGGAGACAGACAAAUAGUCAAAGAUGUUUCAUAACCAACUCCUUUGGAAAGAAAAAAAAGUAGCACAUCAGCAAUUUUUAAGCACGUUAGGAUUUGAACAGCUGAAUGACAGUAUCUCCUGGAGGAAAGAUUUUCUACUCACAGAACCUGAGAUGAGAAUCAUCUGUCCCAGUUUUACAAAUUAAAAAGGAAAAAAGAAACUCCAGUGCCUUUUCUGCCAGUAUUUUCUGAUGUUGAAAUUCUGAUACAAAUAUUCAAGUUCAAUGCAAUCCCAUCAUGAGCGAUCCUCAGGAAGCUGUAUUUGAAAUGAAGCUUUGUUAGAUGAGAAAUCAAAUUCACAAUCCUUCUGUGGUUUUGGUGCAAGAGCUCCAUCUGGAAAUGGACCAGCCCUUACUGCCUCAGCAUAUGUCCCAGGGACUACAUUCUCCCAAUAAUUGAACACUUUGAUUCCAAAUGCAGCACAGUUUUCUCUCUUCAUGCUGUUAUUCACCUAUCUCUGAGCAUGCAAACUUCAGGAAGCCAAAGUGAGUGUAGAAAGAUAUUUAUAAUGAAGAAAUAAAAAAAUCCUUAUCAUAAUUAGGUGAUGCUGAAAUAUUCUUCUAGUUGGCAUUCUGCCCAGGAGUUUAAAGGGUUUUUACUUAGUUCUGACUUUGCUUACCUGUAAACCAACCGAGUUCCCUCCAUUUCCCUGCAGUUUGGCAUUUUAGUGUUACAAACCAUUAUUCAUUGGAAGUCAUCAAAAGACAAGGGACCUUUUUCAUUACAAAGCUCCUGGGUGGAAUAAAAUGGCUUACAUUGUUGAAGGGAAAAGGGGGACAAGAAAUGAGUAUUUUCUUUCUAGAAAACACACACAAACACACACACACACACACACACACACACCUGUAUAUCUGCAAUCCAGAUGGCCAUGGUGCCCUGGAUGGGGAAGAAAUAAUCCACUUACUUCUUCUUUUGCUUUUUAUAUGGACUACCACGAAUGGCCAAUCCUGACCCUCAGGGACUGCUCUUUAAGUGUUCUUAAAAUUGAAAUAGAAUUGGAAGUGUCAGUUUCUGGACCAUGUCCAUGUCACCACAGGUGGAAACACAAUGGUUAAACUAGGAUGGACAGGAACUAAGGAGUCAAUCAACUUUGACCUGGAUUGGCAUCCAAUAUGGAGGAUUUCCGUAAUAAUAACAGGACACAGUUCUCUUUAGGCUUCCCUUUAUCCUUAGCUCUGAUAUAUUAGAUUCUUACAUAUUCUAUGUUUUUAACUGAAACAGCCUGCUGCUAAAGCCUUCAGACUACUCUAAUUCUGGAAGCCUAAUUUCAGACUACUCUGCCUCCUCCCAGAGGGAACGAAAGCCAGGGAGAGAUGCUAAAGCCAUAAUCCUCAAAGGAUAGUUCUGCUUGCAGAUCUAGGGCUUUCAUUUAAAAGAAUGACUCAAAAGGCCAUUUCUAGGCUCGUGAAUCUCAAAAGUCAAUGUCGAUGAGUAUUAUCUCAGACACUUGUAAGAAAUGCGUACAUUCAAGCCCCUUUUUUCUGAUUCGGAAGUUCUGAGUUCAGGUUUGGGGCCAGGGGAUCUGAUAUUUCACUGCAUAUGAUCCUGAUGUAGUCGUUCGGUGGAAUACACAAGAGUCACUAAACUAAACUACAAUAGACUUGGGAACGCAGAAAUAGGAAGUUUCUUAGAUUUUUCUUGAGAUGUGGAUUUUAAGGUAUAUUUGUUAUAUUUUCUCUUAGUUUAUUUUAAAUACCAGGUAACCCUGAGACACACUGAAACCUGAAAGUCAUAUAAAGUUAUGUCUAAUUUAG